UGGGGAAUUUUGGACAAUGGGCGAAAGCCUGAUCCAGCAAUGCCGCGUGUGUGAAGAAGGCCUUCGGGUUGUAAAGCACUUUUGUCCGGAAAGAAAUCCUUGGCUCUAAUACAGUCGGGGGAUGACGGUACCGGAAGAAUAAGCACCGGCUAACUACGUGCCAGCAGCCGCGGUAAUACGUAGGGUGCAAGCGUUAAUCGGAAUUACUGGGCGUAAAGCGUGCGCAGGCGGUUUGCUAAGACCGAUGUGAAAUCCCCGGGCUCAACCUGGGAACUGCAUUGGUGACUGGCAGGCUAGAGUAUGGCAGAGGGGGGUAGAAUUCCACGUGUAGCAGUGAAAUGCGUAGAGAUGUGGAGGAAUACCGAUGGCGAAGGCAGCCCCCUGGGCCAAUACUGACGCUCAUGCACGAAAGCGUGGGGGAGCAAAACAGGAUUAGAUACCCCUGGGUAGUCCACGCCCUAAAACGAUGUCAACUAGUUGUUGGGGGAUUCAUUUCCUUAGUAACGUAGCUAACGCGUGAAGUUGACCGCCUGGGGAGUACGGUCGCAAGAUUAAAACUCAAAUGAAUUGACGGGGUCAUAGCU
rnacentral:rRNA from 1 species